rnacentral:lncRNA from 1 species
AUUAUCUGUAGGGCAAAGGACUGGAAGUUAAUUGAAGAUAGAUUUUAAUUCAAAACAAGGAUCAGUUCUUUAAGAGUCUGAAGAAGGGUUAUUUUAGGAAGUAGCUGCCUCUGCCCCCUUCCCACCUGUUGCAGUGGAUCAAAUAUACACUGAAUCACUACCUCAUUCAUUCAACACUCAUUUCAUGAAGGCUUAACGCAUUGCUGUGGGGCUUACUCUGCCGCCGACCUGGGGCCUAGCUAGGCUUUGUAGUCUAUAUAGUCUCAUAGUCCUGCAAACUGGCUCCAGCCCAGGAAAUCACCCUGUGUAGGAGUGGCUGCAGUCAAGACGCAGGAAGACAAUCCUGAGGGGACCUGACAUCCAGCAUCUGAGUUCAGACUACUAUAGUUUGAAUAAGUGACCUGCAGAUUCAUUACACACAAGGGAACAUGUCUUCCUUUUGUUGGAUUGAACUCUGUGAUACCAAGCAGUCAAAACUACCUGUCAGAUGUCCAAUCCCUGAUCCAGAAUUUCAAGGAGCUGUGGAGGCAGCUGUACAAUGGGAGUGUCAUAAACCAGAGAACUUUGUGUCCAGGCUAUGUCUAUUAGGUGAGUAUAUGGUGAGAAGGCAGCUGUCUGUGAACCAGAAGGAGGGCCCUCACCAAGAAGUGACCAUGCUGGCACCCUGAUCUUGGACUUCUGGCAUCUGGAACUUUUAUUCUCUCCACAGUGGUCGGGGCAGUCUGAGAGAAUACGGUGGAAUCGAUGGUAUGCGACUUCCAAGGUUAGGUCAUAAAAGACAUUGAAGUUUCUGCUUUGUCUCUUGAAUCACUUUCUCUGGGGGAAACCAGCUACUGGGUCAUAAGGACACUCAAGCAGCACCAUGGAGGGGCCCAAGUGGAGAGAAACCAACUUGCCAGCAUUAACUUGGUAGUUGUGCAGCCAUGUGAAUGAGUGGAUCCUACCAUCCUAGUCAAACCUCUGAUAACUGAAGGUCCCACCUAUAUUUGACUGCAGUCUUCCAACAGACCCCACCCAAGCUGCUCUAGGAUUCCUGACCUACAGAAACUGUGAGGGAUAAGAUAUGCUUGUUGUUUUAACCCACUAAGUUUUAGAGUGAUUUGUUACACAGCAAUAUACAACAAAUACACAAGUCAUCACAGGUAAUAUUUUUAUUAAAUAUUUGCAUAGUACAAACCUGGGUCUCCAUCUUUGUAGGCUUUGAUUUUUGUUUUUUACCAAUCACUGACUGUUAAGCCACAUAUUUUAAGUUUUUGUUACAAUCACACCUAACCUCAAUGUACCAAUUUCUGUAAAUAGAUAAUGCUAGGUACCGUAACCGAUAAAUCUUGACAUCUG